CCUACGGGAGGCUGCAGUGAGGAAUAUUGGUCAAUGGUCGGGAGACUGAACCAGCCAAGCCGCGUGAGGGAUGAAGGUACAGAGUAUCGUAAACCUCUUUUGUCAGGGAACAAAGGCGGGGACGUGUCCCCGGAUGAGUGUACCUGAAGAAAAAGCAUCGGCUAACUACGUGCCAGCAGCCGCGGUAAUACGGGGGAUGCGAGCGUUAUCCGGAUUUAUUGGGUUUAAAGGGUGCGCAGGGGGACUGUUAAGUCAGCGGUCAAAGCCCGGGGCUCAACCCGGGCCCGCCGUUGAAACUGGCAGUCUCGAGUGGGAGAGAAGUAUGCGGAAUGCGCGGUGUAGCGGUGAAAUGCAUAGAGAUCGCGCAGAACUCCGAUUGCGAAGGCAGCAUGCCGGCUCCACACUGACGCUGAGGAGCGAAAGCGUGGGUAGCGAACAGGAUUAGAUACCCGAGUAGUC
rnacentral:rRNA from 1 species